UACGAAGGGGGCUAGCGUUGUUCGGAAUCACUGGGCGUAAAGCGCUCGUAGGCGGAUCUUUAAGUCAGAGGUGAAAUCCCAAGGCUCAACCUUGGAACUGCCUUUGAUACUGGGGAUCUCGAGUCCGGGAGAGGUGAGUGGAACUGCGAGUGUAGAGGUGAAAUUCGUAGAUAUUCGCAAGAACACCAGUGGCGAAGGCGGCUCACUGGCCCGGUACUGACGCUGGAGGAGCGAAAGCGUGGGGAGCAAACAGG
rnacentral:rRNA from 1 species